GACGAACGCUGGCGGCGUGCUUAACACAUGCAAGUCGAACGAAGAGCGAUGGACGCUUGCUUCUAUCAAUCUUAGUGGCGAACGGGUGAGUAACGCGUAAUCAACCUGCCCUUCAGAGGGGGACAACAGUUGGAAACGACUGCUAAUACCGCAUACGAUCUAAUCUCGGCAUCGAGGAUAGAUGAAAGGUGGCCUCUACAUGUAAGCUAUCACUGAAGGAGGGGAUUGCGUCUGAUUAGCUAGUUGGAGGGGUAACGGCCCACCAAGGCGAUGAUCAGUAGCCGGUCUGAGAGGAUGAACGGCCACAUUGGGACUGAGACACGGCCCAGACUCCUACGGGAGGCAGCAGUGGGGAAUCUUCCGCAAUGGACGAAAGUCUGACGGAGCAACGCCGCGUGAGUGAUGACGGCCUUCGGGUUGUAAAGCUCUGUUAAUCGGGACGAAAGGCCUUCUUGCGAAUAGGGAGAAGGAUUGACGGUACCGGAAUAGAAAGCCACGGCUAACUACGUG
rnacentral:rRNA from 1 species